rnacentral:rRNA from 1 species
UACGUAGGUGGCAAGCGUUGUCCGGAUUUAUUGGGCGUAAAGAGCGUGUAGGCGGCCAGAUAGGUCUGCUGUGAAAACUCGAGGCUCAACCUCGAGAUGUCGGCGGAAACCAUUUGGCUAGAGUCCGGAAGAGGAAAGUGGAAUUCCUGGUGUAGCGGUGAAAUGCGCAGAUAUCAGGAAGAACACCCGUGGCGAAGGCGGCUUUCUGGGACGGUACUGACGCUGAGACGCGAAAGCGUGGGGAGCGAACAGG